UUUGGCGGCGGUUUAGUCUAGUCAGAGGAACCUGCUUUUGGAUCGAUAUGACACGUAGAAUCUAACUUAUUUUUGUUUAUAGUUUGUAUACCAUCAUUAAUAGAUGAUUUUUAAAAAAUAGAAUUAUUAUAAUUAAUUAUUUAAAAAAAUUAGAUCAAGGUGCAGCUUAUGAAUAAGUUAAAGUGGGUUACAAUAAGUUUUACUUAAACGGAAUAAGAUUAGAAUUUUUUUAAAGAAGGUGGAUUUGAUUGUAAUAUAAAUUUAAUAAGUUUAUAGGAUAGGAGCUCUAAGCUGUGUACACAUCGCC
rnacentral:rRNA from 1 species